GCUACACAUGCAGUCGAACGGCAGCACAGGAGAGCUUGCUCUCUGGGUGGCGAGUGGCGGACGGGUGAGGAAUACAUCGGAAUCUACCUUUUCGUGGGGGAUAACGUAGGGAAACUUACGCUAAUACCGCAUACGACCUACGGGUGAAAGUGGGGGACCGCAAGGCCUCACGCGAUUAGAUGAGCCGAUGUCCGAUUAGCUAGUUGGCGGGGUAAUGGCCCACCAAGGCGACGAUCGGUAGCUGGUCUGAGAGGAUGAUCAGCCACACUGGAACUGAGACACGGUCCAGACUCCUACGGGAGGCAGCAGUGGGGAAUAUUGGACAAUGGGCGCAAGCCUGAUCCAGCCAUACCGCGUGGGUGAAGAAGGCCUUCGGGUUGUAAAGCCCUUUUGUUGGGAAAGAAAUCCUGUCGAUUAAUACUCGGUGGGGAUGACGGUACCCAAAGAAUAAGCACCGGCUAACUUCGUGCCAGCAGCCGCGGUAAUACGAAGGGUGCAAGCGUUACUCGGAAUUACUGGGCGUAAAGCGUGCGUAGGUGGUGGUUUAAGUCUGCUGUGAAAGCCCUGGGCUCAACCUGGGAAUUGCAGUGGAUACUGGAUCACUAGAGUGUGGUAGAGGGAUGCGGAAUUUCUGGUGUAGCAGUGAAAUGCGUAGAGAUCAGAAGGAACAUCCGUGGCGAAGGCGGCAUCCUGGGCCAACACUGACACUGAGGCACGAA
rnacentral:rRNA from 1 species